GUAGGUCACACCGAGUGGCCCCUCCUCCUCAGACACAGGGCUGUGCCUGGGGAGGCCCAAGAAAGCCAAAGAAUAGGCCACGGGCUCAGAAGACAGGGUGAGAAACACUUAGUCAGCAUAAUCCCUGCCAAUCACACCAGGGCUUCCGGUAAUACCAAGAGGGGAGCGGGUGAGAAGGUGGAUUCUGAAUCUGACCACGUAACUCUGCACUGCCACGAAGGCCCCAGCUCAUGCCCCGCGCUCAGCAGAGAGUGGGCUUGGGCCUCAUCUUCCUGUAACCGGGGGCUGGGGACCACUUUGAUCUCACUGUUCCCCUUGCUGCUGUUCACACCAGUACGGCGCCUUCAAGAAGUUAUCCCAGGGCAAUUUUCCACCUUUGAAGUCCCCGGAAAACCCUGCCAAAAGCCGUUCUGGUGUGAGGAUGCUGCAGGGGCAGGCAGCCUGGUGCCGCGGCCUCCCGGGUGCCAGAACUGGAACAUCGAGACAUCAAAGGCGAAGGUGGCAGCAGGGCGAUGAGUAAGCUCCGCUGCAGGCUUGGCCUCGGCCCCAGAAGCCUUCUCCUCAUCUCCCAGUGGUGGCUGAGCAGGACUAGGGAGACGACCCAGAGAGCCUGGAGACCUGGCUUGGGGGAAGCCCUGUGGAUGCUUCUGGAGGCGGACACUUCCCUGCUGCUCUGUGCCUGGUAAAGGCACCGACCACUGCAGAGCAGAAGCAGAGUCCAAUCCUGGCUCCAAAGCGCCCCUGACUGCAAAGCUUUGGUACUGUUAUUACCACCGUGAAACAGGUGGGGAAACUGAAGCAUGAGGAGCUUGAGUAAUGUGUGUUAGAUCACGCAACCAGUAGUGGCAGAGCUGGAAUUCCGACCUGGGACUGCCUCCAAAGUUCUUGCGUAAGAAUACAGCUGCUACACUUGCCCUUCUUCAGCUGAGACCAAGGAGGGAAUUCUGAUUGAAAGCAAACCAGGGAGGAAAGAUGCACUAGCACUGACCUGUAACAGGUCAAUCUGUGCCAUGGCAUGGCGAGACGAAGUGGAGAACCCAUGUCUCAUUGGAAUCCCGGAUCAUCGUCUCCACGAAGGCUGUCUUCUGCAGCACUCCAGGGACUCACGGCUCUGGGCUUAUUGCUCAGUGUCAUGUGACAGAUGUUUUAGUGUUUAGUUGGAACCCUGGAUCUGCAGCAACCAUCUUGCUACCAACUUGAGGGUGAAGCCAGCCGUAAGAAUAGCAGGCCGGAAAGAUGGAAGAAACCUGGCUUUCCAAUGUCAUCAUUUGGUUGCUGAAUCAAUUGUACCUAAAGCUCACUCUAUCUGUUUUACCUUGAGUUAGGGUUGCCGUUGCUUGCAGCUAAACGCAUCUUCUUUUUUUUUUUUUUUUUUUUUUUUUUUGAGAAGGAGUCUUACUCUAUCACCCAGGUUGGAGUGCAGUGGCGCGAUCUCAACUCACUGCAACCUCCACCUCCCAGGUUCAAGUGAUUCUUGUGCCUCAGCCUCCCACGUAGCUAGGAUUACAGGCGUGAGCCACCACGCCCGGCUUAUUUUUGUAUUUUUGGUAGAGAAGGGGUUUCGCCAUGUUGCCCAGGCUGGUCUUUAACUUCUGGACCUUAGGUGAUCCACCCGCCUCAGCCUCCCAAAGUGCUGGAAUUACUGGCAAGAUCCACCACACCCAGUCUAAAUGCAUCUGAAUAUAACAUGACUCUCCUAGAGAAAAACCUGGAACCCAGAGCACCUGAAUAGAAACUCUUAAUUAUAUCAAUGAGGAAUAGUUAACUUAGCCAAGUUUCCAUUGAAUAUGAAGAACUGUAAAAUAAUGUCAGUUCUAGCCAAGAACUGAAAAGUAAUGUCAGUACUCUAUAAUGUGUAAUUCAUAGUUGCUACAUGUAAUCAGGCUUGGCCAAUUGUUUCCAGGAAGAUGGCACCCUCAUUUCUGAAUGAGGAUGACCAUUUUCCACUAAUCCAGAGGUAAAACAGUCAUUGUAACUGCACUGAAAUUUGCUGUAUCAAGUGAGACAUGAAGGUAAAUGUCAUUGGCCCAGAGUAAUUAGUCUUUUCCAGUGCUUAAAGGAAGGGAGAGAAACUAAUGCCUAUUGAGUGCCUUCAAAGCUUCUGCAAUGUGCUGGUACCCACAUGUUUCCAAUUAUUCCUCACAACACUAUGGAGAGGUUAUUUUGCCUGUUUUGCUGAUCAGGGAACUGAGACUCACAGAGUGACACCAACCCAUCAGUAUUUCAGGUUUCUGGGGAGGGUCCAGAGAGCAAGGGGGAAGCUGCUAAUUGCUUGUUGGUUCAAGAGAAAUGUUAUCUCAGUAGACUAACGUAUGGACUUUCUGAUGUCAGAAAAUGCAAACUAUGUAGUGUAACCUGUUUGCCAUUUUUUCUUUGUAUCCGCAAACUGACAGCAAAAUAUAUUGCACAAGUAUUAUAAAUCUGUUCAGUUCAAGUGCCAGAGAACAUUUACUCUGCUUCCUUCAUGAGGUAAUUCAAAACUUUGUUUUUAAUAUUUAUUGAGUGUCUGGGUAGGUAAACUGCUAUGCCGUCCUAUGGGGAAUUUCAGAUGUGUUGUCUGUGUGUGUGUGUGUGUGUAUGUGUGUGUGUGUGUGGUGUUUUCUGGUUUUGAUUGUUGACGUUUUCUUGAUUUUUUUUGACAGGAGCAUCUUUAGAUAUUUAUUUAUUUUAUAAUUCAUACAUACAUAUAGUAAAAAGUUCAGAUAGUUUUAAAAUAUAGUGAUGUGUAAAUCUCCCCUCACUUGUGAGCCCCAGGCAUUCAGCUCCCCUCCCUAGACGCAAUUAUUGUAGUCAGUUCAAAGCUUGUUUGUGCACAUACAAGUCUCUGUGUAUAUCCUCUACACACACCCAGAAGAGCAUACUAUACAUGCUCUAGACUGUGUUAUGUUUCUUUGAAUGGCUACGAUGUAAUUUAUUAAUCCAGUUCCCUAAUAAUAGGCAUUUAGGUACUUUUCAUGUUUUUCUCAAUGUGUAAUUGUACCAUUAAAAUUCUUGGGUUUUUUUUUGGUUUUUUGGUUUUUUAUUAAGAGUCUCGCUCUGUUGCCCAGGCUGGAGUGCAGUGGCGUGAUGUCAGCUCACUGCAACCUCCGCCUCCCAUGUUCAAACAAUUCUCGUGCCUCAGGCUUCCGAGUAGCUGGGAUUACAGUCGCCCACCACCAUGCCUGGUUAAUUUUUUUGUAUUUUUUAGUAGAGACAGGGUUUCACCAUGUUGGCCAGGCUGGUCUCAAACUCCUGACCUCGAGUGAUCCGCCUCUCUUGGCUUCCCAAAGUGUUGGGAUUACAGGCAUUAGCCACAGCGAAAAUCCUUGUAUUCAUGCCUUUGCCCAUGUUUGCAAGUAUAACUGGGAGAUAAAAUGCUAGAAUUGCAGGGUCCAAAAAAAAGCACAUUUUAAUUUUAACAACUAUAACCCAGUUGCCUUCCAAAGAGGCUGUACACAUGUUUCCCUGUCUCAAACAGUGGUGAGCAUGCCUGCUCCCCUACAAACUCACCAGCUCAGAGCAUUAUCAGGCUUCUCAUCUCUGCCAACCUGGUAAGUACAAAGGGCAUCUCUUGUAGUUUCGGUUGCAUUUUUCUCAUUAUGAGAUUGAGCAGCAGACAAUGUCUUUAAAAGACUUAUUUUGCUCUGGGUUUUAAUCUUAAAAUACUCUAAAUCCUCUUAGAAGUAGGUAGGGUCAGAUCUUCAAUCUGGAUGGAUUUACGUAAUGGGUCUAUGAAAGGGAUAGAAAGUCAAAGCAAGGGGGUGAGGCGGGGGAAUGAUGCGAAGUCAAAGCCCUCCCCCUCGGGGGCCCCUAGCCCAUCCCUGAUCCCUCACCCUUUGCAGGGCAUGUCCAGAGCUGCCACUGCCCUGGGCCUCCACCCCACAGCCCAGGACCACACCUUAACCUGGAAAGUCGUGGACCUCCUCAGGGGAGCUCAGGGAUCAGAUGGGCCGAUGGGUGUUACUGUGGCCAGGAGCACUGGGUCUUGAGUAUGUGGGUGGAACUUUCCCUCAUCCCCUGACCACGUCUAACCACAUGGCCUCUCCACUUUGAUAGUGGCGAGAAGAGUAGCCUCUUGCUUUUGCAUGUUUUCCUAAUCACAGCGUGCUUUCUUGUCUGCUAUUUCAUUUGACUUUUUUCAACCAGCCGCUGAGGUGGGGAUUAUUAGCACGCCCUUUGCAGAUGAGGAAACUGAAGCCCAGGGAGCUUUGGCAACCUGCCCAAGGUCACACAGCCAGUGAAGGAAAGGGCUGAAAUCAAACCAGGCCUGUCUGACUGCAAGGCAGGGUCUUACGGCUGCCUCCGGUGGGUAGGUCCGGGACCCAGCUGGUUUCCGUCCUGUGGCUCAGGUGCGAGGAGAGCCUCCCUGGGCCACCUGGGGAAGUCUGACUGACGUGCCAGAUCCUCACAGAACAAAGGUAAGGCCUCAGCCUUCCCCCUGGCCCAGGUCUUUCCAUGUCCAGUGCAUUCCUGAAUGCUCCCAGUACUCUGGAAAAUGGGGAUUCAUGCUGCCAUUUUAAUUGGAACCCAAUCUGUUCUGACUUCAAAUCUAGUGCUCCUUCUCCAUCCACCCACCCUCCCUGAACCAUGCCCAGGAGAUCGAGAGAUUUUCCUAAUAAACAAGUCAUGUGCUACAAUGCAUGUGCUACACAACCACUGCCCGCUUUGUCUCUCCCCCUAGGAGAGAAGGGGACUCCUGAGAGGCCCCAGCAGCGUUAUCUGGGCAGAGAAAGUGAGUUUGAAGACCUCACACUCCAUCUGGACUUUAUCAGCUCCUUUCCUGGCACCCCCUCUCUCAGCACCAGGGAGCUCCUCCAGGAGCACUUCCUCCCAUGUCUGUGUUCGCCGUUAAGACUGGACACACCAGGAUGAUCUUUCAACUUUGGGUCCAAAGGCCCUCAGUGGAUGUAAAAUAGGUACAUGAGGCCUUGAACUGAACAUUUUUUUCACUUCACCAUAACCUGGAUUUUCCCAGUUUAGGAGCAUCUGUUUGUCUUGAUAACGUUUGGAACAAAGUGAAAAAAACUGGACUUUGAAGAGAACUUCAGCCUCCCAGCAGCCCUGUUUUACAGAUGAAGAAACUGAGGCUCAAAGAGCUGGAGAAAGUUGUUGCCCAGGGUCCUGUGGAGAGAAAACUCAAGCUCCGGCUGUUCCACUACUCUGGGACACCACCCCCAGUGGGAACCCCACUUUUACAAGGAUUCGAAGGUAGGUGAGGACUUAUCUCCUGAAAUAAUUAGUAUACUUACUUUUUUGUUACAUAUUCCCACUAAAGGUUUGCAGCCCCACCCAGCUUGAAUAUCAGGAGAAUGGCAACAAAAUCUGGUUCAAGGCUCACAGAAUCCACGAAAGAUGCCAGCCCCUCCACGGUUGGAGAGUGAUUCACAAAUGUGUCUUUAAGGACUUUCCCAGGCCGGGCACAGUGGCUCACACCUGUAAUCCCAGCAAGCCGAGGCGGGAGGAUCACCUGAGGUCAGGAGUUUGAGACCAGCCUGGCCAACAUGAUGAAACUCCGUCUCUACUAAGAAUACAAAAAUUAGGCAGGCGUGGUGGCAUGCACCUGUAAUUCCAACCACUUGGGAGGCUGAGGCAGGAGAACUGCUUGAACCGGGGAGGCAGAGGUUGCAGUGAGCCAAAAUCACACCGCUGCACUCCAGCCUGGGCAACAGAGUGAGACUGUGUCUCAACAACAACAACAACAACAACAAACAGAAAAAAAAGAAAAAAAAAGGACUUCCCCAUCUCAGAGCAGAAGACAAACCCAGGUGACUCUGAGUCUGCACAGAAAAGGCAAGGGUGACCAAGAGUGAGGAGGUUAAGCACCUGUUGCUUUCAGCUCAGGUCCUGACCACAGCCCUUAAUAAGGACAAACCUCUCAGAUUGCUGCAGCCUUCAAUACGCAUGUUCCUAUAGUGCCUGGCCAAUAAGAAGUACUUACACAGUAGCUGUUAUUAUUGUAAAGGCGGCGCAAAGAGUUAAGGAAGGCCGGUAGCUAAGCUGAAUCUGAGUUGCAUCUUGUAGGCCAUGGUAUGUGAAAGAAGGGCAGGCCAGGAGGGGGAACAGAGUGAGUAAAGCCCAGAGGCAGGGGCAUGGAAAAGCAGGGAGGAGUUAAGCUUGGGGCAAAUAUCCUAAAUGAAGGGGAAUAAAAGGCAACAAAGUUUGCAAGUUGCACCGGGGCCACAUCUUGGAGUUGUUUGAGAACAUGUCCCAUGAGGCUGCAUUUAACACCAGCCACUCGCGCUUCCACCCCAACAGCAGGAGUAUCACAUCCACAUGCCAUGUGCGCAAUUCCUUACUUUAUAUCCUCCUCUAAGAUAAAUCUACCCUCCCUCUUUUUUAAGCAUAAGAGCAUUUAUUCUAAAAGGAAACUUUUGGCCAGGCAUGGUGGCUCACGCCUGUAAUCCCAGCACUUUGGGAGGCCUAGGCUGGUGGAUCAUGAGGUCAGGAGUUCGAGACCAGCCUGACCAACAUGGCAAAACCCCGUCUCUACUAAAAAUACAAAAAUUAGCCGGGUGUGGUGGCACGUGCCUGUAGUCCCACCUACUCGGGAGGCUGAGGCAGAAGAAUUGCUUGAACCCGGGAGGCAGAGGUUGCAGUGAGCUGAGAUCACACCACUGCAGUCCAGCCUGGGCAACAAAGCAAGACUCUGUCUCAAAAAAUAAAUAAAUAAAUAAAUAAAAGGAAACUUUUGCUCACUAAUGGAAAUGGAAGUGGCACCUGUCAUAGGCAGAGACAAAUUGUCAAAGUAAACAACUUUUAAGUCUCACUAGACACUCCUGCCCCAGCAGAAUCUGGUCAAAAGCUAGGUCAGCAAAUUUCAGAGGCAGUAUUAAGGACAAAGUAGCAACAAUCCAAACUUUCUUUUUAGGUACUCAGAAAGACUAACAGAACAUUGAGAAGGGGUGUUAGUCACAUCCCCAAACUGCAAGAGGCCAGAAGAUAGCGAGGGGUCUUUCAAACAAUCUAAAAUCUGAGACCCCAAUGUUGGAAAAGAGAAGGAAGGGAAUGGGUUAAAGUGCCAGUUGCUCCCUCCUCAGAUAGCAGGGCCCUGGACAUCCCUAAGAUGUCCCCUUCCUCUUUCAUCCUUCCCUGAUUCCAGCCUCCCCACCUUCCCCAGGCUGGCUUGCCUGAUUUUGUGAGCUCUUCAGCCGGCUUAAAGUGUAAUUCUGUAUUUCUGAUUCUAUCUGUGUUCCAGGAGGCAUUAUCUCUAUCUCUGUAAUAGCUUCUCAAGCAAAAACAUUUUACUGGGUAAAAGAGCAAGGAAUAGGCAUGACCUGAUGCUGAUUUAAAGCAAGAUUCCAGGCAAGCCCCAGAGCCCUCUCUAAGUAGCCUCUCUCCUUUCUGCUGUCUAACGAAACAGCUCCUAAUGGCCAUGGUAUCAUAUUGUAUCUCAUAUUUACACAGCACUCGGCACACAUUCACUUAUUCAGCGGACAUCCAUUGAGGGCCUAUUAUGUGCCAAGUCUUCUGGGUGCUGGCAAUCAACAGUGAACAAAGACCCGUGAGGUUCUUGCUCUACUUGGGAAAACAGGCAAUAAACUCUGAAACAAGUAAAUAAACACGAUCAUGAUGAGGCUACUGAAAAAGCAAUGUGGUAGCAGCGUGACGAUGAUGUGCCAUGGGAGACAGGUGGCAACAUCAAAAAAGGUAGACUGCCCCCGCCCUCCGAAGAGGUGGCAUGUGAGCAAGAAGGAGCCAGCCAAUGGAAAGCUCUGAAAGCAGAGUCUUUUAAAAACAAAACAAAAUCAAAAAACAAAAACAGGGCUCAAAGAAGAUGUCUGCACUUCUGCCAGACGGGGCAGAAAGAAGAUAAUGGUGCUCCAAUCAGGGAGACUGUGGAGGCAGUACAGGUGACAGGAGGCAGGGAAACGAGAAUUAGCCAGAAACACAGUAGGUUUGCCAUGUCAGUCAGACACUCGAGUGUGUUCUUGCUCUUCUCAACAAACCAUAAAGUAAGGACGAUCAGUGUUUCCCAUUUUACAGACAGGAAAACUGAAGCUCGGGAAGGCUACCCAGGUACAUAGGGGCAGUGGUGGGAUGUGAAUCUAUGGUUUAGGAUGCUGACGCCAGCACUAUCCCACCUGCCUCAUGGUAGAGCAGUGUCCAGACACAGAGGUGGCAAUGCAGCAGCUCAAGUGGCAGCUCCAGCACUGCAUGUGUUUUGUCCGUUCUACAUGGGUUUGGAAAAACUCACCUGAGCUAGCGAUCAACUCUUAAAUAUAACCCUUCACUCAAAAAUCUGGCUGUCUAUCUGAAAAUAUUUGAAGACCUGGUCAUAGUGGGACCAUGAUUUGAAUGACAACAAUGGGCUGGAGCAGUAUCUCUGCCCACCUUGAGAGAGGGAUGGGCACUCUGUUUUUCCACAGCCCCCACCUCUCCCGAUUGCUUGCCCCGGCCCCUUCACUCCUCUCCAUUGCAUUCAUGGCCUCCCUAUGCAUUCGGCUUUGAGGCCCCAGCUCUCUAGUGAUGAAAUAUGUGGGAAGAUCCACAAAGCCCAGCAAACGAGGAGUGACCAGAGGAAUUGAGUUACAGUUCCUCCCUAGAACACUUUCCUGCCUUUCUGAUGUAAUCACUUUGCGCAAACAGUAGGAAAUGUUCAGAAGAGCUGCUACAAGGCGGUGAUUAAGAGGUCAGGCCUGGUUCUUAAUUCUAGCUUCAGCAAGUCCUAUCUGUGGGACUUGGGCAAGUUCUAAAAACCUCAGUUUCUUUAUCUGUAAAGCGCAAAUAAUAAUAAUGCCUACUUUAUAAGUAGGAUUAGGGGAAACAGUAAUUUAGGAAACGUGCUCGGAAUGAUGCUAGUUUCGUGGUGAGUAUCCAAUAGAUGGAGCCGUAGUUGUCUUUCUCAUCUUAGAAAGCAGCUGAUUCUCCCAUGUCAUGACAGUGUUUGUGCAACUCCUCUGGAAUUCUCUCCUUUCUUCCUUAGGAGAGCAUUUUCUCAAUGUUCCUCUUUAUCUUUCUCCAAACACAAAGACAAAUCUAAGAGGAAAAAAAAAAUCUUCAAACUGGGUCGCAGAUACUCAGCUUCUUGUCAAUUCUCAUUAGGGUUUAAAAGCUCAGUCUCCUGCAUAUGCCCAAAGAUAAAGCAAUCCCUUCCAUUCCUAAUUCAAAGAACCAAAAAAAAAAAAAAAACAUGUGGUUGGACCUGGUUGAAUAUAUAAACUUUUGGGGAUGGCAAUAAACUAGGCAAAGUCCUGGUUAUUCAAUUUAUUAGCUCAGUUGUGCAACGUAGAAAUAAACAGAAAAUUACUUAUAAUUUUACAAUAAUAUUCAUUUAGAAACAUCACUUUUCUCCAUAUACGUGUUGCAUGAAACAGCUUUACUCCAUUCUUUGCCACACAUAAGGAGGCCGAGGAGGGAAGAUGGCAUGAGGCCAGGAAUUCAAGGCUGCAGUGAGAUAUGAUUGCACCACUACACUUCAGCCUGGGCGACAGGGUGACACCUCAUCUCUAAAAAAUAAAAUAAAAUAAUAAAAAAAUUUUGGAAAUUUUUAAAGCGUCUGCUCCACAGAGCCACAUUUUGCAUUGUGCAGUUUCGUUUUUCAGACCUUUCUCCUCUCUUCCAUCUGACUGCCCUGAGAUCCAGCACUUUUUGCUUCCACAUCUGAGGCUGUCGCUGGAAACAAGGUCUCCAUCCCAUUUGCAUGACAUGAGCACAGUCGGGAUUUGUAUUCAUUCUGUGGGUGUGUGUAUAUUCGUGCUCUCCACAAAAGAACCACUCAGCAUUGCUUUUUCAAGCCGAGCUUUAAAAGGCUUAUUUGCCAUGACAUCCAGCACUUGUAAUUUGAGGUCAUACCCCGAGGAAGAAUUGCUAAAUCUGUGUAAAAUGUUUCUGACUCCUUUUCUUACAGAUUCUGUCAGAUUAUCUCUUUAAGAAUUCUAAGCCCAUGUUGUUUGAGGUGGUUUUAGGCUAAUGUACAUUCCCCAAACAUUUCUUUGCUGUUCAAAAUAAAGCAAUUGAGAGGGUUCUUCGUAAAAACGAAGCACUUUGCAAGAGCUCAAGACAAAAGACAACUCCCUUUUUUCUAGGGGGUAAUUUUGAGGAUAGAAGAAAAACAGUGUUCUAUGUAAGCCUGUACAAUCACGAGAGCCAUUUGCUGAGGGCCAUGUGUGCGAGUGGUUCGUGUGCUCUCCACCUCCUCUUCUUCCUCCCAGGGGAUGAAAUGAGGCCCAACAAGUGCAAGACAUGGACCAUGUCAGCUCGUGACAGAACAGGGCUGGAACCCAAGUCUGCUAGGCUCAGCCCACUCCCUCCCUGUGCCGAGUUGACAUAUUCUACUUACAUUAAGCCAAGUGCUGGGCUCUGAUUAUACAAAAUCAGAUAAGCCAGGACCCUGUGUUCAAGGAGCUCCCAGGCCUGCUGGGGUGAGAGUGGAGCAGCAAGGAUGGAAGUGCACAGAUGCAAGGGUGGCCAGGCCUAUGGGGAUACAGGCAAGGGAGGCUGAGUGUU
rnacentral:lncRNA from 10 species